GAAUGUGUAGAGCCAGGAUUAAUUAAUGCAAUAACAGUAGUAUCAUAGAGAGAAAAUGUACCCGCAAUUACAUCAGGAGAGGACGCCUCUUCACGAGCUCGAAUAGCAUAUGAUCUUGCAGGUGCUCUAACAUCUGAUCUAACCGCUGAAUCUCUGGAUGCACCCCUAUUACUCGCCCCCACUCCUGGGUUUCUCUGCGGUCUACCUCUGGUAGGAGCAUUACCUGAUCUCGCACUCGUUAUUUCUUCUCUUUUAGUUGUUUCAGGACAAUCCCGAAUAAAGUGAUCGGAUGCUCCACAUCUAAAACAAACAUUUUCACCUGCUCUACACUCUCCGAGGUGGCGUCUCCCACAUUGAGAACAUUCAGGCCUAGGAGGUCGAGUACUGCCUGUACUUGCAACUGUAGUGGUUUGAGCUCUAAAACCCUCGAAUCUUCUACUUCUGCUUCGACCAGAAUAUAUAUGUUGAAAAU
rnacentral:lncRNA from 1 species